UACGAAGGGGGGCUAGCGUUGUUCGGAUUUACUGGGCGUAAAGCGCACGUAGGCGGAUUGUUAAGUCAGGGGGUGAAAAUCCCCAAGGGCUCAACCCUUUGGGAAACUGCCCUUUGAUACUGGGGAUCUCGAGUCCGGGAAGAGGUGAGUGGAACUGCGAGUGUAGAGGUGAAAUUCGUAGAUAUUCGCAAGAACACCAGUGGCGAAGGCGGCUCACUGGUCCGGUACUGACGCUGAGGUGCGAAAGCGUGGGGAGCAACAGG
rnacentral:rRNA from 1 species